CACCAGGUUGAUUCUGCCUGACGUAGACGCUAUUCCCUAAGAUUAACCCAUGCAUGUUUUUGAAGAUUAUUAUCUGAAAAAUGGACUGCUCAGUAAUACUCACUUUAUUUUAUGUGCACCGMRGAWAACUACGUUAAAGUGUAGAUAACAUGUGUACAGUAAGAGUGAGACCUAUCAGCUAGUUGUUARGGUAAUGGCUUAACAAGGCAGUGACGGGUAACGGUAUUACUUUGUAAUAUUCCGGAGAAGGAGCCUGAGAGACGGCUACUAAGUCUAAGGAUUGCAGCAGGGGCGAAACUUGACCUAUGGAUUUUAUCUGAGGCAGUUAUGGGAAGUAAUAUAUUAUUGUUUCAUAUUUUAAAAAUAUAUGAGGUGAUUAAUUGGAGGGCAAAUCAAGUGCCAGCAGCCGCGGUAAUACUUGUUCCAAGAGUGUGUAUGAUGAUUGAUGCAGUUAAAAAGUCCGUAGUUUAUUUUUAAGAAGCAAUAUGAGGUGUACUGUAUAGUUGGGAGAGAGAUGAAAUGUGACGACCCUGACUGGACGAACAGAAGCGAAAGCUGUACACUUGUAUGUAUUUUUUGAACAAGGACGUAAGCUGGAGGAUCGAAGAUGAUUAGAUACCAUUGUAGUUCCAGCAGUAAACUAUGCCGACGAUGUGAUAUGAGUAUUUGUAUUACAUAGUAGAAAUUAGAGUUUUUUGGCUCUGGGGAUAGUAUGAUCGCAAGAUUGAAAAUUAAAGAAAUUGACGGAAGAAUACCACAAGGAGUGGAUUGUGCGGCUUAAUUUGACUCAACGCGAGGUAACUUACCAAUAUUUUAUUAUUCUGAGAGAAUCCUGAUUCGAGAAUGAUAAUAGUGGUGCAUGGCCGUUUUCAAUGGAUGCUGUGAAGUUUUGAUUAAUUUCAACAAGACGUGAGACCCUUUUAUAUAGACAGACACAAUCAGUGUAGGAAGGAAAGGAUUAAAACAGGUCCGUUAUGCCCUCAGACAUUUUGGGCUGCACGCGCAAUACAAUAGAUAUACAGUCUUUAUGGGAUAAUAUUUUGUAAGAGAUAUUUGAACUCGGAAUUGCUAGUAAAUUUUAUUGAAUAAGUAGAAUUGAAUGUGUCCCUGUUCUUUGUACACACCGCCCGUCGCUAUCUAAGAUGAUAUAUGCUGUGAAAUUAGUGCAAACUACUUGAACAAUAUGUAUUAGAUCUGAUAUAAGUCGUAACAUGGUUGCUGUUGGAGAACCAUUAGCAGGAUCAUAAUCAGGAAGUAUAAGUUUGUUUGUAUGUCAUUACCCACACAUGGGAUCAAUAGGAUACCAUAACGAUGAAGGUCGUAGUAGAAUACGAAAGUAUACUUACCGAAUUUAUAUUCUAGUAUAGAUUACCCUUUGAACUUAAGCAUAUCAUUAGAAGGAGGAAAAGAAACUAACUAGGAUUUCUUUAGUAGCAGCGAGUGAACAAGAAUCAACCCUUGAUUGUAAUCCUUUACUGGAGAUGUAAAUCACUGUUUUAUUACUUAUUUAUAAAGAAUAUGUAUUAUUCGUUAGUAACAAAAUAGUAAAUGUUUUUGAGUAGGGCUGCUUGGUAGUGCAGUUUGAAUACAGGUAGAAUGAGAUAUCUAAGGUUAAAUAUAAUGGUAUACCGAURGCAAAUAAGUACUGCGAAGGAAUUUGUGAAAAUGUGUGGGAUGUAGCCUUAUUUUUAAGGACCCGUCUUGAAACACGGACCAAGGAGAUUAUAAUUAUAGCGAGAUAAAGCUUGAAUCUUUAUUAAUUUGACGAGUUAUAAUUAUAAGACCCGAAACACAGUGAACUAUACAUGUUCUGGUUGAAGAUAAGCAACAGUUUAUUGGAAGACCAUAAUCAUUCUGACGUGCAAAUCGAUGAUUUAAGAUGUGUAUAGUGGCGAAAGACCAAUCGAACUGUGUGGUAGCUGGUUCACAGCGAAAUGUCUCUCAGGACAGCAGUCAUUAUCAUAUAGGACAUAAAUGUAGGACACUGUUAUAAUAUUUAUAUUAUGAGAAAUCUUUAAUUUUAUGGAAUCUUAUAAAUUAGUUUUAURGGAUGAAUCUAUUGUAUGACUAGUGGGCACAUGAUUGUAAGAAUGAUGUGCAAAAAGGGAUGAACCUUAUGAAACAUUAAAUAUUCUAAAUAGUAGAUACUAUACCAUAAAUAUGAUGAAUACAUUGAGACAGUAGGGCGGUUGUUAUGGAAGUAGAAAUCCGCUAAGAAACGUGUUACAACGUACCUACCGAAUGUAUUAUUGUAUAAAAUGGAAGAAGAUUACUACUUUUAUGAGAUGUUUCUGUAUAGUAUUUAGGUAGCUGUGCAAUUUGUUUGUAUUGAAGUAUAUAUGUGAGUAUGUAUUGAAGAAACAAAUGAGCCGAUCUUGGAGGCAGUAACAAUAUAUUUGUAUAGAUAUAGACUAGGGUUUUCAAUGACUAUUGAAGUGAAUCGGUGUUAGCAUAAAAACAAAGAAGAUUAAUAGUUCUUCAUUUAAUUACUCUAAGGCGACUUGAUAAUGACRGUAUAUCAUGUUAUCUAAGAAAAAUGAAUUAGAUGAUGUACGUAACUAUGGAUUGUCAUGAUAAGAAAUAGUUAUCUGUAUAURCUUGAUAAAAAAGAAGUAAUUUAACCGUACCUAUACCGCAUCAGGUGUCUUUGUAUCAUAACAAAUAUUUUAAAUUAAAGUAAGUAAGGGAAUUCGGCAAAUUAGAUCUGUAACCUUGGGAUAAAGAUUGGCUCUAGCAUGCUAGAACUUUUACUAUGUAAGGAAUCUGACUGUUUAUUAAAAACAUAGCUUUUUGUUGUUACAAGAAGUGAAUUCUGCCCAGUGCAUUUAUUGUUAAAGUUGUGUAAGCGAAUGUAAACGGCGGGAGUAACUAUGACUCUCUUAAGGUAGCCAAAUGCCUCGUCAUUUAAUUGGUGACGCGCAUGAAUGGAGCAACGAGAUUCCUACUGUCCCUACUUACAAUUUUGUGAAACCACGAGACAAGGGAACGGGCUUGUUGUAUAUCAGCGGGGAAAGAAGACCCUGUUGAGCUUGACUUUAGUAUGUUCCAAUAAUUAUUCGGUAUAUUGUAGAGAGGUGGGAGAUGAUUUGUGAAACCACUAGUAUGUUUGAAUAUUUAUUUAUUACGAAUAUAUGGGGAGUUUGGCUGGGGCGGUACAGCUGUUAAAAAGUAACACAGCUGUCCUAAGGUAGAUGAAUGAUGGAUGGUAACCAUCAGUUUAUUAUAAGGGAAUAAAUCUGCUUUACUUUAUGCAUAUGACUGUAUUUAGUAGGGAAACCUUGGCCUAGCGAUCCCAAUUACAUUCAUUAUGUAUUGGGUGAUUGAAAAGUUACCACAGGGAUAACUGGCUUGUAGCAGGCAAGCGAUCAUAGCGACUCUGCUUUUUGAUUCUUCGAUGUCGUCUCUUCUGAUCAUCGUAGUGUAUGUGUUACGAAGUGUUGGAUUGUUCACCCGGUAAUGAGGAACGUGAGAUGGGUUUAGACCGUCGUGAGACAGGUUAGUUUUACCCUACUGUAAGUAUUUUUGAGUGAACUUUGAUAGUACGAGAGGAACUCUAAGUGAUGACCACUGGUAGUGCGAUUAACUAUUAAGUUAUGUUGCUUAGCUACGUCGUUUCGAUUAAGGCUGAAAGCCUCUUAAGCCUGAAGCGUAGCUCAAAGAUACAUUUGGGAGAAUACUACUCUAUUAAGCAGAACUGUAAGAAUGAAGGUGUAUGCCGACAUCUUGAGGUUACUGCUUU
rnacentral:rRNA from 1 species